rnacentral:rRNA from 1 species
ACAACAUUUGGAAACAGAUGUAAUACCGCAUAACAGCGUUGUUCGCAUGAACAACGCUUAAAAGAUGGCUUCUCGCUAUCACUUCUGGAUGGACCUGCGGUGCAUUAGCUUGUUGGUGGGGUAACGGCCUACCAAGGCGAUGAUGCAUAGCCGAGUUGAGAGACUGAUCGGCCACAAUGGGACUGAGACACGGCCCAUACUCUACGGGAGGCAGCAGUAGGGAAUCUUCCACAAUGGGCGCAAGCCUGAUGGAGCAACACCGCGUGAGUGAAGAAGGGUUUCGGCUCGUAAAGCUCUGUUGUUAAAGAAGAACACGUAUGAGAGUAACUGUUCAUACGUUGACGGUAUUUAACCAGAAAGUCACGGCUAACUGCGUGCCAGCAGCCGCGGUAAUACGUAGGUGGCAAGCGUUAUCCGGAUUUAUUGGGCGUAAAGAGAGUGCAGGCGGUUUUCUAAGUCUGAUGUGAAAGCCUUCGGCUUAACCGGAGAAGUGCAUCGGAAACUGGAUAACUUGAGUGCAGAAGAGGGUAGUGGAACUCCAUGUGUAGCGGUGGAAUGCGUAGAUAUAUGGAAGAACACCAGUGGCGAAGGCGGCUACCUGGUCUGCAACUGACGCUGAGACUCGAAAGCAUGGGUAGCGAACAGGAUUAGAUACCCUGGUAGUCCAUGCCGUAAAC